UCCCUGGUGGUCUAGUGGUUAGGAUUCGGCGCUUUCACUGCCGUGGCCUGGGUUCAAUCCCUGGUCAGGGAA
rnacentral:tRNA from 1 species